rnacentral:rRNA from 1 species
GACGAACGCUGGCGGCGUGCUUAACACAUGCAAGUCGAACGGAAAGACCCUGCUUUUGUGGGUUGCUCGUUUGGCGAACGGGUGAGUAACACGUGAGUAACCUGCCCUUGACUUUGUGAGAACACCAGGGAACUGGGGCUAAUACAGCAUAGAAUCUCCUGCUGCAUAGUGGGGGUUGGAAAGUUUCGGCGGUUGGGGAUGGACUCGCGGCUUAUCCGCUUGUUUGUGGGGUAGUGACUUACCAAGGCUUUGAGGGGUAGCCGGCCUGAGAGGGUGGACGGGUACCUUGGGACUGCGAUAGGCACCAGAAGGCUACGUGAGGCAGCAGUGGGGAGUAUUGCAGAACGGGCGGGAGCGUGAUGUGACAACGUCGGGUGCGGGAUGACGGGCUUUGGGUUGAAAACCAAUUUGGCCUGAGCUGUAGAGUGAGUGACGGUAAUGGGUAAAGAAGCACCGGCUAACUACGUG